CCCUAGUGUUUGUCCAGGUAGUGGAGGGGGCACCAUCAGUAUCUCCAACCUCACCCUAGUGUCUGUCCAGGUAGUGGAGGGGGCACCAUCAGUAUCUCCAACCUCACCCUAGUGUCUGUCCAGGUAGUGGAGGGGGCACCAUCAGUAUCUCCAACCUCACCCU